rnacentral:rRNA from 1 species
GACAGAGAGUGCAAACGUUGUUCGGAAUUACUGGGCGUAAAGCGCGUGUAGGCGGCUAAGUAAGUCGGGCGUGAAAUCCCACGGCUCAACCGUGGAAGUGCACUCGAAACUGCGUAGCUAGAGUCCUGGAGAGGAAGGUGGAAUGCUUGGUGUAGAGGUGAAAUUCGUAGAUAUCAAGCGGAACACCGGUGGCGAAGGCGGCCUUCUGGACAGUGACUGACGCUGAGACGCGAAAGCGUGGGGAGCAAACAGG